CCUGCACGUGGUAUCAACCUACGCCGUGCGACAUGGAGCCAUGAAAAUUUUUACUUCCUUCGUGGUAACGUGACAUUACCGUCGACGCUGAAUUGCAACGUACGUUGCGUUCAAGAAAAUGGCGUGACAUAUCGUGCGCGACUUAGGAAAGGUAAAAGGACGCAAAAUGAUAGGCGUUUGAGAACGUAGGUGAACUAUGAGAAAAGAUAAUCGUCGUCAAGAGUUGCGAGAAAAAGGUUUGUGGCUGCCACAUCUUCAAAGAGGUAGCGAAGCAGAUUGCGAAUGACGUCCGACAUACGUGAGUGUGUUUGCGUAUGAGAAAGGCGAAGGGUCGACUCGUAAUUUCUCGGACUGGUUAGUGGAAGAGUCUCGCAUAGAACAGCCGGAUAGCUCGUGUCGCGGAGAACGCGUGGAUAUACGGAAUGGUAUUGAUCCACGUAUUAAAUAUUUAAUCGCAGGAGGAAGUUCAAUACACGGACGAGGACGGUUGUCUUUUGAAGACAGGUUGAACAAAUGAAAGCGAACAUACAACCGGAACGAGGUAGCACGCAAUUCUACCCUGUCCAUUCGGCAUUCGUCAAGACAUCAAGGCGUUCGGAUGGAUUUUCAUUAUUUAAAACGCUUGGCAAAAAGUUCCGAUCGUUGACGUGUUGCCUCUAUCGAUCGUAGUUUGCAAACUUACUCAAGUAAUCUAAGAUAUUGUGUUGAUUUAAAAAAAAAA